CCUACGGGUGGCAGCAGUCGAGAAUCAUUCACAAUGGGGGAAACCCUGAUGGUGCGACGCCGCGUGGGGGAAUGAAGGUCUUCGGAUUGUAAGCCCCUGGCAUGUGGGAGCAAAUUAAAAAGAUAGUAACACAAGAGGCAGCGACGGCUAACUCUGUGCCAGCAGCUGAGCUAAUACGGAGGUCUCAAGCGUUGUUCGGAGUCACUGGGCGUAAAGUGUGCGUAGGUGGUUUAGUAAGUCGUAUGUGAAAGGGGCGGGCUCAACACGCGUGCGGCACAUGAUACUGGGAGACUAGAGUGAAGGAGGGGAGAAUGGAAUUCUCGGGGUAGCAGUGAAAUGCGUAGAUAUCGGGAGGAACACUCGGGGCGAAGGCGAGUUCCUGGACAUUAACUGACGCUGAGGCACGAAGGCCAGGGGAGCGAAAGGGAUUAGAUACCCUUGUAGUC
rnacentral:rRNA from 1 species